rnacentral:lncRNA from 1 species
AAAGGAUUUAGAACGAAUCAAAGGUAAUUAUUAUUUCUAAACUUAUUUUUAUUAUGACUAGAAGCAUAUUUAUAUUAUUUGAGUGAUAAUUACAUGAUUUUUUAUCAAUGUCAUAUUCUUCAAAAGCUUAAGGUGCUUUAAUGGUGGAUCUUGAAUUUUGAGAGAAAAUCCACAAAUCAAUGGUUGUUCCAACUCAAAAUGGAUCUAUUAGAAGAUUUUUUUAUCUUAUUUAUCAAGAUUAAACAUGUUUUGUAAGGUAAUUUAAAGAAAUUCAAAUUUCAUCAUCUUCGUGAACUGAUUUUUUGGAUUUUUGUGAAAUUGAUUUAAAUUUGAAAUUGAUGCUUAGUAUAUGUUUAUUUGGUCUAGUAUUAAUGUUCGGAAGUGAUUAGGAGGGUUGGAGUGAUCGAUUUUGUGAGGAAUCGAGUUUUCGACUUGAUGAUACAAAUCCAGUAAGGUAAUUUUGAGCGAAAAUUUCGUGUAGCCUAGUUGAUAAAAAUUUGUGUUUAUUAUAUCUUUUGAAAGGUGGUAAUAUCUAUUUUAUCUCUGUUGAAGCUCCAAAUCUUGAAGAGGAUCGAGCUAAUCAAAAUUGUAGCUUGGAUUUGCUUGGUUGAUCACUUGGUUGUGGUUUAGUUAGUUGUGUGGUGAGUGUUAUUAAAGGACGAUUUGGUAAAUUGACCCUCACUUAUGGUUAAUUGGAUGAUUAAUUACUGAUUGCAAAUAUUUAAUUGAGUUUUGGUUGGUUAAUUUUUCAAGAUUAUUAAUAUAUGUUUAAGUGAUGAAAAUUUUGUUAAGUGUUGGUAAGUGAGCAUCUAGUGAUUUUAUGUGCUUGAUUUGAUUGAUUAUAAUGGUGAACUAAGCAAGUAUGCUGGGGUUUUUGGUUCAUGGCAUGUUAAUAUUUCAAUUGAUAAAUGAACAUUGAUAAUAGGUAAUUGGUAUGCUAGAUUUAAUUUGAUGUUAAAAUGGCUAUGUUACAUGAUUCACAUAUGCAUUUUAGCACUUUAAAUUGAGCACAUUAUUGACUGAAAUUAUGUUAUGAUUGAUUGAUUAUAUUGGCAUUAUAGCAUGGUGGAUCCAUUGGAUAUAGUUGGCAUGUCAUAGGAUUUGUGAGUACUCACCAAGUUGAUAUGUUAUUUGUGAGCAAUGAGGCUCUAGGUGGACUAAUUUGGAGUAGAUAAUGGAGUGUUGAGCUUGUGUCUCCACUCAACGGGACUGAUUUAAGGCGAUAUAAUGGAGCAUGUGGCCUCGGCCCUUUCAAUUUGGGACUGAUUUUGAUUUUGAUUGGGAGUAGGGAGAUCUGUUUAUCCGAUGUAUGAUCACCUAAUUAAGCCAUGAUUGUAUAUCCUAAUAUAAAUGUAUUAAAGGUUAUAUGCUGAAUUGAUGAUUAUAUGCCAUGAUUAAUUAUGAUUUUUGAUACAUGGUUGAGUAUAUGACAUUGAACUAUUAUGGAUUGAUAUUGUGACUGAAAAUUUGUAUUUGAUUGGUUUCGAUUUAAGCAUGAUUUGGGUGCUAAUUUACUCGUCAUUUUAUUAACAUUCACUAAGCUUUUUAAGCUCACAUCCUCACAUUCGUGCAGUUAACCAACAGGAUUGAGGAGCCGAGGAGUUGAGCAAGAG